rnacentral:sRNA from 1 species
AACCCUGGGCUAUGCCUAGGGUUCCAAAAAGCUUACAGCGUGGUAUUAAAAAAACUUCCUCUUGGUGCUAAAAUAUUUUUUGGUUCGCCAACCGAAAAUAAAUAGCCAGGAGGAAG